UGGGGAAUUUUGGACAAUGGGCGCAAGCCUGAUCCAGCCAUGCCGCGUGCGGGAAGAAGGCCUUCGGGUUGUAAACCGCUUUUGUCAGGGAAGAAACGGUCUGUCUUAAUACUGCGGACUAAUGACGGUACCUGAAGAAUAAGCACCGGCUAACUACGUGCCAGCAGCCGCGGUAAUACGUAGGGUGCAAGCGUUAAUCGGAAUUACUGGGCGUAAAGCGUGCGCAGGCGGCUUUGCAAGACAGAUGUGAAAUCCCCGGGCUCAACCUGGGAACUGCAUUUGUGACUGCAAGGCUGGAGUGCGGCAGAGGGGGAUGGAAUUCCGCGUGUAGCAGUGAAAUGCGUAGAUAUGCGGAGGAACACCGAUGGCGAAGGCAAUCCCCUGGGCCUGCACUGACGCUCAUGCACGAAAGCGUGGGGAGCAAACAGGAUUAGAUACCCUUGUAGUCCCUGAGCGGGCUGGCAAGGCGCAU
rnacentral:rRNA from 1 species